rnacentral:rRNA from 1 species
AUGCUCCGCCUGCCGGACUUCGCCGGCUCCAGGAGCAACUACGCCCUCCACAACAUGGGCCUCCUCACCCAGGCCGACGGAGGGCUCGGGUGCGGGCCGCCCGACAGGUUCGCCGUUGCCGACUUCGUCCUCAAUGGCGCCGCCAUCUUGCGGUUUCUCUCUGAGGAAGGGAAGUGGAAGGCGGUACGGCCGGUCCAUGGCAACCCAUCGCUCCCGCGCCCGAUGGAGAUGAACCAGGAGACGGUUGCCUUCGGCGGCCGCCUGUGGUGGGUCGACCUCACCUUGGGUGCCGUCUCCGUCGACCCCUUCGCCGACCGGCCGGAGAUCCGCUUCGUCGAGCUGCCCAGCGGCAGCGUGCUGCCCGCGCCUGCACGUGUGGACGAAGCAGACCCCUGCAAGGUCGAGGAACGGGGGCUGCUCAUUAUGGAGGUCACCAAUCGCCGGCGCAUCGGCGUGAGCGAGGGGAGGCUGCGCUACGCCGAGGUGACUCCCGGCGGGCCAUUUCUGCUCAGCUCAUAUGCGCUCGACGACGACGAGGGCACCGGCUGGAAGCUGGAGCACCAGGUGGCACUCAGGCGGGCGUUGGCGGACGGAGGCUACUCGGCACAGGCGGCGCCGCAGAUCGCCGUCCUUGACCCCGUCGACGCCAACAUCAUUUACCUCAAGGUCGGCAAGGACGUCGUCGUGGUGGACAUGCAUAACGGGAAUGUGAUUGGGGGCUGUCGGCUUCAAGGAGAGUACAUUUCUCUUGUACCAUGCGUGCUUCCACCAUGGCUUGGAUCAAGCCGGAUCCCCGCCGAAGGCAAGAAGGAUGGCAUGGAAGUGACAGAUGAUCUGGUUUCCUGGAACUAA